CACGGAGUUAGCCGGGGCUUAUUCUCCCGGUACUGUCAUUAUCAUCCCGGGUAAAAGAGCUUUACAACCCUAAGGCCUUCAUCACUCACGCGGCAUUGCUGGAUCAGGCUUGCGCCCAUUGUCCAAUAUUCCCCACUGCUGCCUCCCGUAGGAGUCUGGGCCGUGUCCCAGUCCCAGUGUGGCUGAUCAUCCUCUCAGACCAGCUACAGAUCGUCGCCUUGGUAGGCCUUUACCCCACCAACUAGCUAAUCUGACGCGGGCUCAUCCUCGGGCGAUAAAUCUUUGAUCUCGCGAUAUCAUCCGGUAUUAGCAGUCGUUUCCAACUGUUAUCCCAGACCCAAGGGCAGAUUCCCACGCGUUACGCACCCGUGCGCCACUAUGCCCGAAAGCAUCGUUCGACUUGCAUGUGUUAGGCAUGCCGCAGCGUUCGUUCUGAGCCAGGAUCAAACUCU
rnacentral:rRNA from 1 species